GCGUCUGAUCGGGUAAGACUAAUUACAAAUGUAAUUAUACCAUGUAGGUUUGAAUUUGUAAACAUGAAAUCAAUAAAUACCUUUGUGUGCUAAUGACACUGUCAUUAGAUAAACUGCAUCAUUAUUUAUUGGGUAAAAGUAGGAUGGAGAACCAACCCCAUUCCAGGAAGAGGUCCAGUCUGCCCCGGGUCAGAACACCUUCUAUAGCACAGAAUACCUGACUGCGCCAGACAUUGUUGCAGAACUCUCUGCAAAAAUUAAAAAUACCUCUUGCAGCAGGUUCAAUAUUAAUAGAGCCAAUGUGUGGAAUGGAGCAAUCCGCGGCUUCAAAGGGGCCUCAUUCGACCCCUCUCAUCAGAUGCAGGUUAAUUUUACUGAUGAUGAGGGACAAACUGAGGAUGGAGUGGACACUGGUGGUCCCAAGCGUGAGUUCCUGACCCUCCUAAUGGAAUGCCUGAGAAUGAGAAGAAUAUUUGAUGGUCCACAGGACAGGAAAUUCCUCAAGUUCGACAAUGCAGCUGCAAAAGAUGACGAAUACUUUCAUGCUGGGAGGAUGAUUGCAACUUCUAUAGUUCAAAAACACAAGGAGAAAAAGAAGAAAACAUCAUGUCAUGGCUCACUGUCUCAAAAUCUGAUUCUAAAUGUAUAAUGUUCUUUAUAAAGAUAUAACUAAUACACAAUUAUGAAUGUAUAAUAUAAGCUGUUUUGUGUAUUUAAUCAUGCGUUGGUCUACAAUUUAAUGAUGGCUUCUACAUAUUUCACAUAAACAGACAAUGAAAA